AGAGUUUGAUCCUGGCUCAGGAUGAACGCUAGCGGCAGGCUUAAUACAUGCAAGUCGAGGGGCAGCGCGGGUAGCAAUACCUGGCGGCGACCGGCGCACGGGUGCGUAACGCGUAUGUAAUCUACCUUUAACCGGGGAAUAGCCCAGAGAAAUCUGGAUUAAUGCCCUAUAGUAUUAUUGAAAGGCAUCUUUCGAUAAUUAAAGCUCAGGCGGUUUUAGAUGAACAUGCGUGUCAUUAGUUUGUUGGCGAGGUAACGGCUCACCAAGACUACGAUGACUAGGGGGUCUGAGAGGAUGAUCCCCCACACUGGUACUGAGACACGGACCAGACUCCUACGGGAGGCAGCAGUAAGGAAUAUUGGGCAAUGGAGGCAACUCUGACCCAGCCAUGCCGCGUGAAGGAUGACGGCCCUCGUGGUUGUAAACUUCUUUUGUACGGGAAUAACCCUCCGAACGUGUUCGGAGCUGAAGGUACCGUAAGAAUAAGGAUCGGCUAACUCCGUGCCAGCAGCCGCGGUAAUACGGAGGAUCCAAGCGUUAUCCGGAUUUACUGGGUUUAAAGGGUGCGUAGGCGGAUUGAUAAGUCAGUGGUGAAAGCCUACAGCUUAACUGUAGAACUGCCAUUGAUACUGCCAGUCUGGAGUAUGGUUGAGGUAGCUGGAAUGUGUCAUGUAGCGGUGAAAUGCUUAGAGAUGACACAGAACACCGACGGCGAAGGCAGGUUACCAACCCAUUACUGACGCUGAGGCACGAAAGCGUGGGGAGCAAACAGGAUUAGAUACCCUGGUAGUCCACGCCGU
rnacentral:rRNA from 1 species